rnacentral:rRNA from 1 species
UACGAAGGGGGCGAGCGUUAUCCAUCAUGACUGGGCGUAAAGGGUCUGUAGGUCGCUUUUCGUGUUAAAGGUGAAAAAGUAAAGCACACCUUUUUAAAGCCUUUAAUAGACAAAAGCUAUGAAUCUGAGUGAAGAUAGUGGAAUUUCAUAUGCGGGGGUGAUAUCCUUUGACGUAUGAAGGAAGACCGGUGGCGAAGGCGACUAUCUAUUUCAGUAUUGACGCUGAGGGACUAAAGCAUGGGGAGCAAACAGG